AAGAAUAUAAAAUCCCUUAAGGGAGUUAAAAGAAAAGAGGUGAAUGAAGUCUUCCUACCUUUUUUAUCAGCUUCUGGAUAGUGGAAGUUGGUUCCAGUCAAAAUAACCCAGGAGAAAUUGUCACUAUGUCACCUUUUUGUUUGUUUUCGGCUGUUAUUUUCUAUCACUGAUUCUACUUCAAUCUAACUCAAGCUCUUUCUCAGCAUCACUUUUAACUCUGGACAGCAGGGAGCCGAAGAAAACGGGGGCGAGCUCUCUCUCUGAUUGGCUUUCAUUCAGUGCUUCUGAUUAAGGGGAGAGGAAAAAAAAAGGAAAGGGGGGAAAAAAGCUCUUCCUCACACGGAGAGAAAGGUUCUGCUGAUAGAGCUGCAGCACUCGCCAUGGGAAGGUUAGAGACUGGGGAAGCGCUGGCUUCUGCGAGCACACAGCUAUUUGCAAGUGAAUGCGAGGGGAGGGCGCAUCCGAGAGGAGGGCUUUGCUUGAAAGGCGUCCCCUCCCCCGCAGGGCAGAAAGACUCUCUGUUUCAAGGCUAAGGAAUGCAGAGAACAAUACCUCAAAGUACGGUGCUUUGGCAUAUGAGCAUGUUUCAAUUAAAAGAAAUUGAAAGACCUUAGAAACUGCCUCAGAACCAAGGACUUCUUCACCUUCUCUUGUUUCUCCCCCAUCAAGGGUUCACUCUGGAGCUUCCCUUAUCUAACUGCAGGGAGGCGAAGGCCCCGAAAGCCCCGUGGGACAUGACCAAAUCAGCAUUCCACUGGAGGCUAUAUGAUCAAACAGCAAACUGUUUAUCGUGACUGGAGGCUGUGAGCAAACUCAUGAUGCUCCUGCCGACAGAAGGUUUGCUGGAGGCAAUCACUCCCUGGCACCGAGGUUAUCUACUGCGACAUCUAGACAAUACAGUCUUUCAAGCCUACUCUGGACUGAGCAGCUGACCUCUUCUUCCAACCAGCUUCUCACUAUCUCUUUUGCCUAAUAAAGUUGAUUCUUCUGUUUUCUCCACUUGGAAUUUAGUUCAUACUGUACUUCUGCCAUUAUCUCCUUAUUAUUCUGCUGGACAACAGGCUGAGUCUAAAAAUCUGAAAGAAUUGGCCGGGUGUGGUGGCUCAUGCCUGUAAUCCCAGCACUUUGGGAGGCCGAGGUGGGUAGAUCACGAGGUCAAGAGAUUGAGACCAUCCUGGCCAACAUGGUGAAACCCCAUCUCUAUUAAAAAUACACAAAUUAGCUGGGUGUCAUAGUAUACACCUGUAGUCCCAGCUACUCGGGAGGCU
rnacentral:lncRNA from 1 species